rnacentral:rRNA from 1 species
GACGAACGCUGGCGGCGUGGAUUAGGCAUGCAAGUCGAACGGUAGGAUCCUUUCGGGGAUCUGAGAGUGGCGAACGGGUGAGUAACACGUAGGUGAUCUACCCUCAAGACGGGGACAACCCAGGGAAACUUGGGCUAAUACCGGAUGUGAGCUAUCGCGAGAUAGUUUGAAAGGUGGCUUCGGCUGCCGCUUGAGGAUGAGCCUGCGUCCUAUUAGCUAGUUGGUGAGGUAACGGCUCACCGAGGCAGUGAUAGGUAGGCGGCCUUAACGGGUGGUCGCCCACACUGGGAUUGAGAUACGGCCCAGACUCCUACGGGAGGCAGCAGUCGAGAAUAGUCUACAAUGGUCGAAAGACUGAUAGUGCGACGCCGCGUGAACGAAGAAGCCCUUCGGGGUGUAAAGUUCUUUUAUAUGUGAGCAGUGACACCCAUAUUAAUAGUAUGGGUGUAGAGAUAUUAGCAUAUGAAUAAGCAACGGCUAACUCCGUGCCAGC